rnacentral:rRNA from 1 species
GACGAACGCUGGCGGCGUGCUUAACACAUGCAAGUCGAACGGUAAGGCCCUUCGGGGUACACGAGUGGCGAACGGGUGAGUAACACGUGGGUGAUCUGCCCUGCACUUUGGGAUAAGCCUGGGAAACUGGGUCUAAUACCGGAUAGGACCACUGCCUGCAUGGGUGGUGGUGGAAAGCUUUUGCGGUGUGGGAUGGGCCCGCGGCCUAUCAGCUUGUUGGUGGGGUGAUGGCCUACCAAGGCGACGACGGGUAGCCGGCCUGAGAGGGUGACCGGCCACACUGGGACUGAGAUACGGCCCAGACUCCUACGGGAGGCAGCAGUGGGGAAUAUUGCACAAUGGGCGCAAGCCUGAUGCAGCGACGCCGCGUGAGGGAUGACGGCCUUCGGGUUGUAAACCUCUUUCAGCACCGACGAGCGCAAGUGACGGUAGGUGCAGAAGAAGGACCGGCCAACUACGUGCCAGCCGCCGCGGUAA